AUAUAUGAACUUAUCAGGUCAACUAUGGUAGGCAGCAGGAGAUAUAUGGACUUAUCAGGUCAACUAUGGUAGGGGGCAGGAGAUAUAUGGACUUAUCAGGUCAACUAUGGUAGGGGCAGGAGAUAUAUGGACUUAUCAGGUCAACUAUGGUAGGGGCAGGAGAUAUAUGGACUUAUCAGGUCAACUAUGUAGGGGCAAGAGAUGUAAGGACUUAUCAGGUCAACAAUGGUAGGGGCA